GAACGCGUCGGCGGCGUGCCUAAUACAUGCAAGUCGAGCGAACAGAGUAAGGAGCUUGCUUCCUUGAAGUUAGCGGCGGACGGGUGAGUAACACGUGGUAACCUACUAGUAAGACUGGAUAACGUUCGGGAAACGGAGCUAAUACCGGAUAACAUUUAGAACCGCAUGGUUCUAAAGUGAAAGAUGGUUUUGCUAUCACUUAUAGAUGGACCCGCGCCGUAUUAGCUAGUUGGUAAGGUAACGGCUUACCAAGGCGACGAUACGUAGCCGACCUGAGAGGGUGAUCGGCCACACUGGAACUGAGACACGGUCCAGACUCCUACGGGAGGCAGCAGUACGGAAUCUUCCGCAAUGGGCGAAAGCCUGACGGAGCAACGCCGCGUGAGUGAUGAAGGGUUUCGGCUCGUAAAACUCUGUUAUUAGGGAAGAACAAAUGUGUAAGUAACUGUGCACAUCUUGACGGUACCUAAUCAGAAAGCCACGGCUAACUACGUG
rnacentral:rRNA from 1 species